rnacentral:rRNA from 1 species
GAUGAACGCUGGCGGCGUGCCUAAUACAUUCAAGUCGAGCGAACAGACGAGGAGCUUGCUCCUCUGACGUUAGCGGCGGACGGGUGAGUAACACGUGGAUAACCUACCUAUAAGACUGGGAUAACUUCGGGAAACCGGAGCUAAUACCGGAUAAUAUAUUGAACCGCAUGGUUCAAUAGUGAAAGACGGUUUUGCUGUCACUUAUAGAUGGAUCCGCGCCGCAUUAGCUAGUUGGUAAGGUAACGGCUUACCAAGGCAACGAUGCGUAGCCGACCUGAGAGGGUGAUCGGCCACACUGGAACUGAGACACGGUCCAGACUCCUACGGGAGGCAGCAGUAGGGAAUCUUCCGCAAUGGGCGAAAGCUUGACGGAGCAACGCCGCGUGAGUGAUGAAGAUCUUCGGAUCGUAAAACUCUGUUAUUAGGGAAGAACAAAUGUGUAAGUAACUAUGCACGUCUUGACGGUACCUAAUCAGAAAGCCACGGCUAACUACGUG